rnacentral:rRNA from 1 species
CCUACGGGAGGCAGCAGUGAGGAAUAUUGGUCAAUGGGCGAGAGCCUGAACCAGCCAAGUCGCGUGAGGGAGUACUGCCCUCUGGGUUGUAAACCUCUUUUGUCGGGGAGCAAAAGCCGGACGUGUCCGGCUGUGAGAGUACCCGAAGAAAAAGCAUCGGCUAACUCCGUGCCAGCAGCAGCGGUAAUACGGGGAAUGCGUGGGUUAUCCGGCUUUAUUGGGUUUAAUGGGUGCGCAGGCGGAUUUUUAAGUCAGCGGUAAAAUCGUGGGGCUCAACCCCAUCCAGCCGUUGAAACUGGGGAUCUAGAGUGUGCGAGAGGUAGGCGGAAUGCGUGGUGUAGCGGUGAAAUGCAUAGAUAUCACGCAGAACCCCGAUUGCGAAGGCAGCAGACCGGUGCACAACUGACGCUCAGGCACGAAAGCGUGGGUAUCGAACAGGAUUAGAUACCCGUGUAGUC